rnacentral:rRNA from 1 species
GGGAGACUAUGAAGCGGUAACGCCAGUCGUGGAGUCGUUGUUGAAAUACCACCCUUUAACGUUUGAUGUUCUAACGAAGUGCCUGAAACGGGUACUCGGACAGUGUCUGGUGGGUAGUUUGACUGGGGCGGUCUCCUCCCAAAGUGUAACGGAGGAGCACGAAGGUUUGCUAAUGACGGUCGGACAUCGUCAGGUUAGUGCAAUGGUAUAAGCAAGCUUAACUGCGAGACAGACAAGUCGAGCAGGUGCGAAAGCAGGUCAUAGUGAUCCGGUGGUUCUGAAUGGAAGGGCCAUCGCUCAACGGAUAAAAGGUACUCCGGGGAUAACAGGCUGAUACCGCCCAAGAGUUCAUAUCGACGGCGGUGUUUGGCACCUCGAUGUCGGCUCAUCACAUCCUGGGGCUGAAGUAGGUCCCAAGGGUAUGGCUGUUCGCCAUUUAAAGUGGUACGCGAGCUGGGUUUAGAACGUCGUGAGACAGUUCGGUCCCUAUCUGCCGUGGGCGUUGGAGAAUUGAGAGGGGCUGCUCCUAGUACGAGAGGACCGGAGUGGACGCAUCACUGGUGUACCAGUUGUCUCGCCAGAGGCAUUGCUGGGUAGCUAAAUGCGGAAGAGAUAAGUGCUGAAAGCAUCUAAGCACGAAACUUGCCUUGAGAUGAGUUCUCCCAGUCUAUAAGACUGUAAGGGUUGUUGGAGACUACGACGUAGAUAGGCUGGGUGUGUAAGCGGUGUGAGCCGUUGAGCUAACCAGUACUAAUUGCCCGAGAGGCUUAACUAUACAACGCUCAAGGGUUUUG